UCAUAACAUAGAGGAAACAGCAAUCAAAUAAAAAGAUACCGCAUAUCUGGAGGGGGAUUAGCCCAAGCAGAUACGGUACACGGCUGCCACUUGCUUCAAACAAGGAAAUAAAAAGUCCAAGACGACUGAACUGAUCGGUAAUGAAGAUAGAACAAGAGCCCAAGAUGACAGUCACACAAAAUAGCGUUCAAGAUAGGCACUACUAAACUCCAAGAGUUGGUUCAACAAAUUCCAGCUUCAGUUCAUCAUGCAUCUCUAAAACUAAGAGCAUUCGAUAACUAGAUGAUUUAUUUCUGCAUGUCCACUUUGAAGCUGGUAAGUGGAACAUGUACGCAUGCACAAUGGAACACACAAUGGUACUUCAUCAGUCAAUUUCUUCGAAGGGGGAGGAAACUGCACCGGUAUGUCAUUGCUUCAAACUUAGAAGAUGGGUAGAUGCCUUUAAAGGAAAUGAUCUCAUCAGUCAAUUUGAACUUCAAUACUGAGUACUGCAAAGAUUCUCAGCUAGUAUAUAUAUAUAUACAAGAAAUAAAAGUUCAAUACCACACUUAGGGACCUUAUAUAUUCCAGAAUUAAUCGUCCACAGGUUAAUCAUUAGCAGUAUGCGAGUAUCAGUUAUUAAACUAACGUGAAAAGAGGAGACAUGAAAAACUGUGUGACGCUAGAAAAAUUUAAGCCGGUAGAACUACACUCUUGUACAAGAAAACAUAUAUUAAUCAUGGUAAACAAAAUUUACAGUUAAUAUUACAUACUCCCUCCGUCCCAAAAUUCUUGUCUUAGAUUUGUCUAGAUACGGAUGUAUUACUUAUCACAAUAGUCAGAUGUCUUAACAAAAAUAAUAGAUAUAGAACAAGGUAAAUAUACAUCACCUCAUCAAGGGACACAUCAUGCUAGCAGUAACAAGAGACCACUCAUGGACAUUCAUUUCAUUGUUUAACAUUUCAGGCCCAUCAUCAUCCCCAUCAGCCACAUUGCCUACAAACAAAAGACAAAAUAAACUGACGAAAAUUCAAAUAAAAUGUACUCCCUCCAUUCCAUAAUUAUUGUCGUGGUUUUAGUUCAACAUGGCAAUGUAGUCAUGUACCUUGAGCCAGUUACUAACUUAAGAUACAGUGUUCCAUAAGAAUAACCGAACAAGCAAAGGCACAUCUACUACAAAUUUGAUGAAAAAAUAUAUACGCAAAAUAGUAUAGCAAUGCUCCAUUUUGCACAGUAGUGAAGGAUGCUUCCAGCCUAUCAUUUAUGUUGUCUAGAGGACUAUUAACUGUUUUGAAUAGAUUUUGUUCCAAAUUAUGUGAAACACGCAAAAUAAAAUUGCUCACAGCACUCAAACAGUGAAAUGGAGGAACAUGACUACUAAAAUUCAAAUAGAUAUGGCCUUACAGAAAAUAGGAUAAAAGCGAUAUUUAUUUCCGACUCUAGCAGGAGGAAAGCAAGGGAUUGAAACCUUCAAAUAGAUAUGGCCUUACAGAAAAUAUGAUAAAAGCGAUAUUUAUUUCUGACUCUAGCAGACAGCAAGGGAUUGAAACCUUCAAAUAGAUAUGGAGUUACAGAAAAUAGGAUAAAAGCGAUAUUUAUUUCUGAUUCUAGCAGGAGGACAGCAAGGGAUUGAAACCUUAAUAAAACUUACAUAUUAAUUCAAUAAGGAAAGAUAUAUAGGCACAACGUCAUUACAGAUAUAUGGUUACUGGUAAGAUCAACAGACAUAAAAACUAACUUGUAGAGAGAAAAUAUUACAAGGAAGACAACAAAAGGGAAAUGUGCAAAUCAAGUUACUCAAAUAGCAUUUCUGAACUUAACCAUCCAUAUAUUGUACUCCCUCCGUUCCAUAUUACUCGUCGCUGAUUUAGUACAAGCGACGAGUAAUAUGGAACGGAGGGAGUAUGUGCAUAUAUAGAAACGAAAACGAUUUUGUUCUAGAUUUUGCCGGGUUCGACAAUCAUAUAUAUCACAAACUAUUGGCAACAAUUUAGCUAACAGACAGAGAAACAAGUACUAUAACUUAUAUAUGAACCGGUAGAGCUCCUUCGACAGCAUUUCAACAUUCCGAAAGAUAGUUGGACUCUUGCAAAGUUAACGAUACCUGCCGCAUAAAAACUUGUGUAGGG
rnacentral:lncRNA from 1 species